rnacentral:rRNA from 1 species
CCUACGGGUGGCAGCAGUCGAGAAUUUUUCUCAAUGGGCGCAAGCCUGAAGGAGCGACGCCGCGUGGGGGAUGAAGGGUUUCGAUCCGUAAACCCCUGUCAUUUGUGAACAAGGUUCAACCAAUAACACUGGUUGGAUUGAUAGUAGCGAAAGAGGAAGGGACGGCUAACUCUGUGCCAGCAGCCGCGGUAAUACAGAGGUCCCGAGCGUUGUUCGGAUUCACUGGGCGUAAAGGGUGCGUAGGUGGUGAUGUAAGUUUGAUGUGAAAUCUCCGGGCUUAACCCGGAAAUGGCAUUGAAUACUACGUUGCUGGAGGAUUGGAGGGGGGACUGGAAUUCUCGGUGUAGCAGUGAAAUGCGUAGAUAUCGAGAGGAACACCAGUGGCGAAGGCGAGUCCCUGGACAAUACCUGACACUGAGGCACGAAAGCUAGGGGAGCAA